GCUAUACAUGCAGUCGUACGCUUCUUUUUCCACCGGAGCUUGCUCCACCGGAAAAAGAGGAGUGGCGAACGGGUGAGUAACACGUGGGUAACCUGCCCAUCAGAAGGGGAUAACACUUGGAAACAGGUGCUAAUACCGUAUAACAAUCGAAACCGCAUGGUUUUGAUUUGAAAGGCGCUUUCGGGUGUCGCUGAUGGAUGGACCCGCGGUGCAUUAGCUAGUUGGUGAGGUAACGGCUCACCAAGGCCACGAUGCAUAGCCGACCUGAGAGGGUGAUCGGCCACAUUGGGACUGAGACACGGCCCAAACUCCUACGGGAGGCAGCAGUAGGGAAUCUUCGGCAAUGGACGAAAGUCUGACCGAGCAACGCCGCGUGAGUGAAGAAGGUUUUCGGAUCGUAAAACUCUGUUGUUAGAGAAGAACAAGGAUGAGAGUAACUGUUCAUCCCUUGACGGUAUCUAACCAGAAAGCCACGGCUAACUACGUGCCAGCAGCCGCGGUAAUACGUAGGUGGCAAGCGUUGUCCGGAUUUAUUGGGCGUAAAGCGAGCGCAGGCGGUUUCUUAAGUCUGAUGUGAAAGCCCCCGGCUCAACCGGGGAGGGUCAUUGGAAACUGGGAGACUUGAGUGCAGAAGAGGAGAGUGGAAUUCCAUGUGUAGCGGUGAAAUGCGUAGAUAUAUGGAGGAACACCAGUGGCGAAGGCGGCUCUCUGGUCUGUAACUGACGCUGAGGCUCGAAAGCGUGGGGAGCAAACAGGAUUAGAUACCCUGGUAGUCCACGCCGUAAACGAUGAGUGCUAAGUGUUGGAGGGUUUCCGCCCUUCAGUGCUGCAGCUAACGCAUUAAGCACUCCGCCUGGGGAGUACGACCGCAAGGUUGAAACUCAAAGGAAUUGACGGGGGCCCGCACAAGCGGUGGAGCAUGUGGUUUAAUUCGAAGCAACGCGAAGAACCUUACCAGGUCUUGACAUCCUUUGACCACUCUAGAGAUAGAGCUUCCCCUUCGGGGGCAAAGUGACAGGUGGUGCAUGGUUGUCGUCAGCUCGUGUC
rnacentral:rRNA from 1 species